rnacentral:rRNA from 1 species
GAUGAACGCUGGCGGCGCGCCUAACACAUGCAAGUCGAACGGCACCCCUCCUCGGAGGGAAGCGAGUGGCGAACGGCUGAGUAACACGUGGAGAACCUGCCCCCUCCCCCGGGAUAGCCGCCCGAAAGGACGGGUAAUACCGGAUACCCCGGGGUGCCGCAUGGCACCCCGGCUAAAGCCCCGACGGGAGGGGAUGGCUCCGCGGCCCAUCAGGUAGACGGCGGGGUGACGGCCCACCGUGCCGACAACGGGUAGCCGGGUUGAGAGACCGACCGGCCAGAUUGGGACUGAGACACGGCCCUGACUCCUACGGGAGGCAGCAGUGGGGAAUCUUGCGCAAUGGGGGGAACCCUGACGCAGCGACGCCGCGUGCGGGACGGAGGCCUUCGGGUCGUAAACCGCUUUCAGCAGGGAAGAGUCAAGACUGUACCUGCAGAAGAAGCCCCGGCUAACUACGUG